UACGAAGGGGGCUAGCGUUGCUCGGAAUUACUGGGCGUAAAGGGCUCGUAGGCGGCCAACUAAGUCGGAUGUGAAAUCCCCAGGCUCAACCUGGGAACUGCAUCCGAUACUGGAUGGCUUGAAUCCGGGAGAGGGAUGCAGAAUUCCAGGUGUAGCGGUGAAAUGCGUAGAUAUCUGGAGGAAUACCGGUGGCGAAGGCGGCAUCCUGGACCGGCAUUGACGCUGAGGAGCGAAAGCCAGGGGAGCAAACAGG
rnacentral:rRNA from 1 species